rnacentral:lncRNA from 1 species
UCUGUCUACAUUCUGAUGGAUGGCCAUGGCUUUAAAUGUUUCAGACAUUUUGAACUCUACAUCUUCCAAGAUAAGUAAUCAUAGAAUGGUUCUAGAACAUCACUUAAUCCAGUGUGUUUGAAUUAUUAAUAAUUAAUAAUUGCUCUUUAUAGCCAUGAUUUUAGUCAGAGAUUGACUGAAUUUCAGCUUUUAAAAAUAUUUUAUUACAUGUUUUAUACAAUAUAUUUUAUCAUGUCUUCCCUCUUCAAACUUCUCUUAGGUCCUCACCCCAUCUCUACCAACCCAACUUCAUGUUCUCUCAGAAAAAACAAAACCAAAUAAAAAAAAAACAACCCACAAAACAACAGGAAACACAUAAAAUAAAAUCUAAACAAAUGAGCAAAAGACCAGAAAGAAAGAAAAAAACAAACAAACCAAACCCUGCCAAAGUCAAGCAAAAUGAAAGAAGCCCACAGACAUCCUCUCAGCUCUGUUCUGUCACGCACACUGACCGCUCCCUGACCUUUGCCUAGUUUUCUGGCAGUGCAGGAGGAGACAGCCAGCUCCUGUGCUUAGUGGGUCUUACAGGCUCCAGAGGAGGAGCUGGGGCAGGGGCUACCAAUUUGUUUCUCCCUCUUUUCUCUGACACCCAGGGAUGUCUGUCUAGUUUCUACACUUUUAGGUUGUUAGAAAUGGCCUGGUGCCCCAGGCAGAAAAGGCUGCCAAAGAUCUACUGUGAGAAAGCCAGCUUGGAAAACCGUGCUGUAGACGCUUGUAUCUGGAUAGGGCCUCUCUGUUCAAAUCUGUUGGUGACUUCAGCACAGAUCCUAUCUGUUCCCUCCUCUCUCUCCUGCCUGCCAUUGCAGACACAAGCCCAGGUCUCCUGAGGUUUCUCUGAGGGCUUUGCCAUCAUCACAGUGAAGAAAGAGACUAAAAAUAACAAGAAAUUACAGUUUGCAGAGCUCUUAAUUAAAAGCUGCCUAUGCCAUCCACUGGACUUG